rnacentral:rRNA from 1 species
GACGAACGCCGGCGGCGUGCUUAACACAUGCAAGUCGAACGGAAAGGCCCUGCUUUUGUGGGGUGCUCGAGUGGCGAACGGGUGAGUAACACGUGAGUAACCUGCCCUUGACUUUGGGAUAACUUCAGGAAACUGGGGCUAAUACCGGAUAGGAGCUCCUGCUGCAUGGUGGGGGUUGGAAAGUUUCGGCGGUUGGGGAUGGACUCGCGGCUUAUCAGCUUGUUGGUGGGGUAGUGGCUUACCAAGGCUUUGACGGGUAGCCGGCCUGAGAGGGUGACCGGCCACAUUGGGACUGAGAUACGGCCCAGACUCCUACGGGAGGCAGCAGUGGGGAAUAUUGCACAAUGGGCGGAAGCCUGAUGCAGCAACGCCGCGUGCGGGAUGACGGCCUUCGGGUUGUAAACCGCUUUCGCCUGUGACGAAGCGUGAGUGACGGUAAUGGGUAAAGAAGCACCGGCUAACUACGUGC